AUUGAACGCUGGCGGCAUGCCUAACACAUGCAAGUCGAACGGUAACAGGAAGAACUUUGCUUCUUUGCUGUAGAGUGGCGGGCGGGUGUGACAUGUCUGGGACAUUGCUUGAUGGAGGGGGAUAACUCGUGAAAACGGUACUUAUUACCGCAUAACUUCUCAAGACCAAAGAGGGGGACCUUCGGGCCUCUUUGCAGUGGCUGUGCCCAGAUGGAUUAGCUAGUUGGUGAGGUAACGGCUCACCGAGGCGACGAUGCCUAGCUGGCCUGAGAGGGUGACCGGCCACACUGGAACUGAGACACGGUCCAGACUCCUACGGGAGGCAGCAGUGGGGAAUAUUGCACAAAGGGCGCAAGCCUGAUGCAGCAAUGCCGCGUGUAUGAUGAAGGCCUUCGGGUUGUAAAGUACUGUCAGCGGGGAGGAAGAGAGUAGUGUGAAAACCUGUACACAUUGACGGUACCCGCAGAAGAAGCACCGGCUAACUACGUG
rnacentral:rRNA from 1 species